AUCUUAAAAAAAAAUUAAUUUUAUUAUUAUUUAAUAAAAUUAUAGACCCGCGGUGUACCGCGGGUUAAUAUCUAGUCUGUAGUAAAGAAACAAAACAAAACUUUAUACCCACUGUUAUGUACAUUCAAAUUCAAUAUCAUAUGAUUUUGAACUCUGCCUCAUAAAGUUGUUAGUUGGUUAUAACUUUAGAGCAUCUAGGUCAGCAUAAAAAAUGGAGGUCAUACCACAACAAAUUUAAAUCCGUCCGACUAAUUUCAUGAGUGAGUCGGUCUGACCGAAGUUAUAUAUAUUUUGAGAUUUUAAACAAACUACAAAAAAUAAAAUAAAAAUCAAAAACAUCACUAAGAAAUUUGUUAAAUUAAACCAUUAUUAGUAUCAUGAGAUUCAUAGAAUAAUUUACAGGAAAAUGAUCCUAUCAGACGGGGAGAGACCCGGAGGACUGAUACGGAGGCGCUUGUGACUCCAACACCAGCACAGUGGAAGCCGUAUUACUAUACAUGCGGUGAGACGGGUCAUUAUCCGAGGUGGUGUCGUUUCUACCGCCCAUACGGGAAUCCGAUGAUCCGAUGUACAUUAUGUUUUGAGAUUGGGCACUACGCUAGUUCAUGCCCAAUUGUCAUAGGUAGAAUAAUAUACUAACAUACUU
rnacentral:lncRNA from 1 species